AUCCACCCCACCAUUCACAUCCAACGGCUCACAACCACCUUGCUUUUUCUCCCUCAUUAACUCUUUUCGUUGGCAAGUAGUCGUCUCUAUCUCCAAUCUGUCAUCUUUCUCCCUCAUCUUUUCCCUACCACCACCACCAGAUCUUCAUCACUACAACCACUCCCCUCUUUCUUUGUCUUUCUCUCCAUCUCUGUCUCACACAAUCCCAGAAUCACGCCCAUGUUUCUUUAUCUUUCGAUGAGGAUCACAGAUCACAGAUCACAAAGUAUUAUUCGAUAGAACAUAGGAUUUCGGCUUCAUCUUCUCUAACCCUCUGUUCUAUCUCUCUCUCUAAACCCUAGCCCUUGAAAUCGAAACCCUAUUGUAUAUUCGAUCGAUGUCUGAAAUAAACCGAAACCCUUGAUUGAAUCAAGUCGAAACCCUUGAAAUCACUUCAUGAAGAAGAUGAAACCCUUGAAAUGAAACUCAGAGCAUCCAAAUUGGCUUUCUGAAGAAGAUGAAGCCGACUCUUUAGAAUGCUGAAAUCAUGUGAAAUUCGUCAACCAUCUUCAAAUCCAGGAAAGGAUGAGAGAAGAGGGGAGGAAGGAAGGAAAGCAGCUGGUUUUAGGUGAGCUGGCAGAUUUGGUAGCUACCAAAGCUUGUGCCAACUUUGACACAAGAUUUGGCAAAUACCAAAUUUGGCAGCUGCUAUAGGAUGCCAUUGGAGAACUCAUCUAUGCCCAAGUUGCCAUAUUUUGGCAAUAACAAGUGUUUUAGCAAUCCAUUGGAGAUACGGUUAGUAGAGUAAUUAGUGGAGUCAUCAAAAUCAUAUUUGGUUGUAUUAAAAUGUUGUAGGACUAUUAGUUCAAUUAGACUACCGAUCCUCCCUAAGAAUGGGAUUAGCAUACCCAUUGGGGAGUUGGGUUUGCUAAUCCAAUCCCUUUGAAUUGAAAAUAAAAGACCAUUUUUAAUAUUAUUAUGUUUUAAAUAAUUUAUUAGUGAAAGAAAUACUUAAAUUUUUUUAUAAAUAUAUUUUUUUAUAUUUAGUGAAUUUUUAAAUGUUUUAAGCAAAAUUUAUAUUUUUUAGAACCAAAAAAAAUAAUAAUAAUUAUAAUAUUGAAAAUACUAAAAAUUUUAAAAUAUUAAUUUUAUAUAAUAAUACUAUCUCUAGCAUUACUAAUCCUGUAACAUUUUUUAUCCUACAUCUCUAACCUAAUACUAGUACAUUAGUAAUCUCCUCACUCAAUUACACCAUACUUUAAUUCCUUUCAUCCUAUGGAGCCAUGACCUAUAUGUGUAGAAAUUUGUGUAGUCUUACCAUGGAGUGGUUAUUGGGUAUUCUUGAAGAAUGGCCAUAUGGUGUUUUCACGUAUUGUGAUUGUUUGAAAAAAGUAAGACUCAUGAUUUUGUGUCAGGUGAUUGAAACAUGAAAGGGCAUGGCGUAUGAUGAUUAGUGAAGGAGUAUGAAUACAUGACACUCUAGGAGCAUUGAAUAGUUUUUCCUUAACAUGAAAAAAGGAUCAUAUACAUAAUUGUUUUGGCGCUAAAAUAGUCAAAAAGUAACAACAAAAAAGUGUAACUGUUUUCUCUACUUUUUAAUGUACGUUCAUAAAAAAUAAAAAAUUCAACUAAAAUAAUCAGUUCCCAAAACAACCUAUAGUUAGGUGGCGUUUGUUUCUCUUGAUUAGGAGAAUCGAACUAAAAAAUAUAGGGUAAAAUAUAGUUUUAAUUAGAUCAAUUUUAUCUUAAUUUUUCAUAUUGUAUCAAUUUAAUUUAAUUAAUAAUAUUUUUUUAGAAAUUAGACUGGAAUUGAAGG